GACAGAGACCUCAAGUGUUAUUCGGAAUUAUUGGGCGUAAAGGGUGCGUAGGUGGAUGUGUUAGUCGGGCGUUAAAGCCCUCGGCUCAACCGAGGAAAGGCAUCCGAAACGGCACAUCUAGAGUGCGCGAGAGGCACACGGAACUCAUGGUGUAGGGGUGAAAUCCGUUGAUAUCAUGGGGAACACCAAAGGCGAAGGCAGUGUGCUGGCGCGAUACUGACACUCAAGCACGAAAGCGUGGGGAGCGAACGGG
rnacentral:rRNA from 1 species